CAAUGUUCUUCUUGGUUUUGAGAAACACCACGUGUCUCUCACGCGGGCCUCUCUGAGUGUUUCCUCAAAGUUUAGUUUGACUUCCGUGAGGUUGUGGCGCAGUUAGUUUUCUCCAUCUGAACCCACAUCUGAAGGUGAAAGUGUGUGAGCUGAUGUGGAUGUGAGUUCAGCAGCAUGAGUCAGUGUGAGGACAAAGAGGAGGGAGACCCUCAGAGAGAGAUCGAACAUGAGAGGAACAUUCCUGGAGCGGAUGAAUCUGAACCUGGACCUGAACCCAGCUGUGUGUCCCUCAAAAGCAACAAGUCCAUUGACCCACCACUAUUUUUCAAAGGAAGAGAGAAAUAUUUGGGACGAUUCUCUGCUGAACCAGGACCUGAACCCAGCUGUGUGUCCCUCAA